GCUGAGGUGGCUUAAUGGCUAGGGCACUUGCCUAGUAAGCACGAGACCCAGGUUUGAUUCCUGGCCUUGGUA